GCCCCUGGGCUCUGUUUGAUAAGGAGGUACAAGAUGACCAUGAGGUGAAAAGUCACCCACACCUGGAGAGCAAAGACGAGCGAUACAAGCCAGGGCACAUCUGCUCCAGAACUGCUGCCCAUUUGUUGUGGAGCCCAGAUCCCCAAAGCUGAUAGAGUAUUCGAUCCACACCAGACAGCCCGAGUGCCAAAGCAGCCAAGCCUGGAAGGAGAGGAAUUGGCAGAAAGGACACAGAAGUGGACAUCAUUACAGGGUACCCUGGACUCACACAAUGGUUUCAGCCUCUCUACUACUUGAAGACAGGGAUGUCCUGAAGAAACCCUAUGCCACGGCAAAGAAGAAUUGUACACUCAUUGUUCGAAAUGGAAAUGCUGCUUCUCUGGCCAUAUAAGCAGAAAACUCUAGACUCUCAAAGGAGGUUACACCGUGCCGUUUCUCUGCUGAAGAGAGAAGGGGACUGAGGCAGAAUUCAGAUGAGCCUCGCUCUGGGCUCACUUCCUAUUCCGUUUUUGGUCCAGCCACGGGAAGCAGAGCCCUCUGGAGGGAGACUGGGCAAGUUCUAGGGAAGCGCUUUCAGAGAUGAUCUCUCGCAGGUCCUCGGAGGGGGAGGAAGGAGGUAGUGAAAAGAUGAGUUUUGAGUGAUCAUGUUAUUUUGCAGGGUUUCCUACAGGACAGGUUCUUGGCGUUCAAGGCUGGUGUUGGUGUCAUCACUGGCUCCUCUCUUUCCCGCCAAUCCCUUACCCCGCAGCACCACCUGCAGGAGCCCCAGAAGCUAGCCAUUUAUCACCUCCACGCUGUCAUCCAGGGCCAAGCCACCAUCUCUCACCAAGGCCAUCGCAGAAGCCUCUUAACCGGCUGCCUGCACUUAUCCCAGCUUCAUGGCAGAAUGUCAUGUUCCAUCUCAGAAUGCUCCCCAGCUCCCAGCGCACUCAGAAAAAAGCCAAGCUUCCGCCUGGCAAUGCCCCCCACCUGACUGUUGCCCCUGACGUCCCCCUUGACUCAACCAGUUCCAGCUGUCCUGACCUCCUUGCUGUUUCCUUAUUUUUCACACGCUUCCUCUUUAGGGCUUUUCGUUCUCUACUUGGACUAUGUCUCCCCCAGAAACCUGCAUGGCCCGCUCACUCACCUUUGUGCUCUAUUCAAACGUCAUCUGUCAUCGGGGCCUCCAAUUGCCCUAUUUAACACAUUGACUGCCACACUAGAAAAUGAAAAUAUUUUUUCC